GAGCGCGGGGUGGCGCACGCUGCGGAGGCUCCUGGACCAGGUGGUGGCGCCUGCGCGCCGCUGGCGGCGCCCGCUGCCUAGCAACGUGCUGUACUGUCCGGAGGUCAAAGACAUUGCCCACAUGACGCGCUGUACCUUGUAACUGUGGAUCCCCGCAGAAGCUACGGCCAAAGAAAGGUGGGAGCUGCCGCUUCCGUACUGGGAGCUCACGUUGUUAAAGCUCCCGGACACCGGCCUGGCACUCGAUGAGGCCACUGAGCCCGGGGCAGAAGGGAACGCCCCGGGAGGUGCUGAUCCUGAAGUAGGGAGGUCCUAGGCGAAAUCGCCCCGUCUCCCGACUGCCAGCCCCAACCAAUUCGCAUGGAGUGGCCCCGGGCUGAUGUAAACAAAGCCUUCCUUGCAGUGGGAAGACGACAGACGGGUUUCCUGAGCUGUGAUUUUUGGCUUAUGUCCAGGGCAGUGCUGGUGUGCUUGUGGGGGAGCAACAGGUCCUAUUUUAGCAUUUCUGUGUCAAUGGUUUGAGAUUGUAUUUCUUUUUAAAAUGAAGCGGGCGAGGCGAAUUUGUGUUAAUAUCUCACUUUGUUUGGUAGCUGUGAACACCCCACCUUCUCCCUACCCACAGUAGUGUGUUCCUAAAAUGAUGGCCAUGCUGUGUCGCCUAUUAGGAGUCUUGCGUAUCUCAGAGUUGUUCAAUAUGUAGGGCAAAGAUCAGAAGAUCCAAGACGCAUUUAUCUCAGGCAGCUAAAUGAGGGCCUCUCAAGGAUAUUAGGGGUAAACCCUUGGAUAAAAGCGUUUUCUGAUGUUAUCUGUUGUUAGGGGUUAAACACUGGCAACAAUGUACCAUUUUAAACAUGCCUCCUGUGGUUGAACAUCACCUAUUGAAUGACAGGAAUUCUGCUUUAAAACCUGCUAACUAGCGCCUGAUGAUAGUCUUAAUGUAGCCACUGGGAGAGCAAGCUUGGAAGCAGCACAGAAUCCUAGGACCCCGUGCUGGGCUGCUGUGGUCGGAUCAGUCUGGAUUAUAACAAAAAUCCCAGGUGGUCUGUGUGCAAGUCCACACUGAAGAUGUACUGGUCUACUUCCUCACUCUGGGAUCUCAUUAUCUGGGAAUGGGAUAGUUAAAACCAUCGGUAUCAUUGGCAUUGAAAGUCCUAAAGUGACAAGCUUAGUGUUGAAGAAAUACCCUUAGUCCUUUGUGUACAUCACUAAUUGAUGGUAUUCUCUGGACUACAAAUGUGAACUUUCAAAAUAUAUAUUCCUAUUUUUGUGACCCUUAGUGUUUCCCUGUCACAAAGUCUCAAAUGUCACCUUUUGGGAGAGACUUCUCAGCAUUCAGCCUAGUGCAACCCUUUCCCCCAACUUCUCUUGUCACCCUGCCUUGUCUCCUUUCCAUUGCUUUUCUCAAUUGUUUUGUGCCCCACCCCCCACUAGUGUUCAGCUCUUGGAGCACAACACUGGACUUGUGACUUAUUGUAUCUCCAGGGCUGGCAACAGUGUCCAUGUCAACGAGGCACUCAAUAAACGUUUGCUGCAUUGACA